rnacentral:misc_RNA from 1 species
GGAAGUAAAAGUCGUAGCAAGGUCUCUGUAGGUGAACCUGCGGAGGGAUCAUUCACACGAUUUAUCUUUAAAAACAAACUGUGAACUUUAAAUUUACUAUUCGUGUUGAAAUUAUUUUUAUAAUUUUUUUAACACUGUCAUUCGAUGAACAUUAGAUAGCUGGCUUGUUUUUACAAAAACUUUCUCAGCUGAUUUCUUGUUAGACUAAACAUCUAUUCAAAUAAUCAACCAAACAUAGAAACAACUCUAUGCCCUGGAUAUCUUGGUUCUC